UCCGACUUAGCUCAGCGGUAGAGCAAUCGGCUGUUAACCGAUUGGUCAUCUGUUCGAAUCAGAUAGUCGGAGCCA
rnacentral:tRNA from 1 species